CAGCUGCCGCGCGACAAUCCUCGCCACCGCCUGCACCACGCUGGCGUUGCCGACCAGGAAGUCGUCUCGGACCGCCGAGGUGAGUGUGUUGCGGUUCCCCGUAGCCGGCGGCUCUUGCAGCAGCGCCACCAGCUGCACCAGCUGAUCCGUGUCCUUUUCCUUGUGCUUGUCCUUGUGCUUUUUCUGGCACGUGCUGGCCGUCAUCAGCCUUUGGAAGGCGUUGUACGAGUUAACCUGCCGGACGUGCGCCUCCCGCCCCUCCCUCCACCGCUCCAGGUCGUGCCACCCCACGAGCGCCUCCUCUACAGCAUCCACCAGCUCCGCCGGGGCCACCCGCCCGUUCCGCUGCAGUCCCUGACAUUGCAGCGGAGCACAGGAGAGAGGUGGUUUCCGUCACCUCGAACAGGGUGUGUGUGUGUGUGUGGAUUCGCCAGAAGUAUACCCCAUCGGAGGGGGUUCCUCACGGGUUUCGGGGUAUGUUCGGGGUCUGGCAUCUUGUGACCUGAUCCCUCCCCCCCUGCCUCCAUGUCCACAACUUGCGUGCUGCAUCCCAAUCAAGCAGCAUGCCUUGCACCGCCGCAUCCUCAGGUCGGCAUACAAGGAACUUCACAUACAUCCUGCAGCAGCUAGCGAUAGACACGCCGCUCACCAGUAGCGGGUGCUCACUG
rnacentral:lncRNA from 1 species